rnacentral:tRNA from 1 species
ACUAAUAUGGGAAGAAUUUAAUGUCACGAGCUUAAAAUUCAUUUCUAAAGAUUAAUCUUUUUUUAGAA